GAAAGGUACAGCUUUCAGAUACUUCUGAAGGCAGACAGAACUAAUCUUGUACUUUUUGCAGUCUUUUUUUUAAAGUGACUUGGAGUGUAUCACUGUUUGUAAAGGGUAAGCAAGAUUACACAGUCGCCAAUCGCAUUAAGAGUCUGAUAUUCUUUGGGAAGCAACAUACAAGUCUAAUGGGCCCUGAAUGCUGUAACUGCCUCUCUGAUAAGAUACACAGAAGUCAUUCUGUCAAACUGCAGUUAUAGCAUCACAGCACAACUGAAGAUCCCACAUGAGCUCCAAUGCAUAUUAAGGAGUCUUUUGUGUACCAGGAAUUGCCUGCAUUUCAGAGGGGAGGACAGAUCUGUGCCUCUAUCCUUUUCUAUGGGUGGAGAUACCCAUUCUGCCAUAAUGGUCACUUCUGCAAGUAAGAAACGUCCUGUCAUGUGCACUCGAAGAACUGCAGAAUUGUGGACCAUAAAAAUGGAUCAUUUGAAAGCUGUAUUUAUGCAAAUUAUGGUCUUUAAUCCCAUCUAGAACAGGCCUACGAAUCAAUGGGAGGUAUAAAAACGUUGACUUAACAAAUCCUAUCCAUUCAAUUGUUUGCUUUAAUUUGGAUUGACACGUGGAUUUAAGCCCUAUUUAAUUAAUAUAUAUUUUCCAAAGAGGACAGCAUCCACAGAAUUCAAUGAAUGUUCCAAGAACAAAGUAUAUUUGUAACUGGACACCUCUCCUAUCUAAACCAUUUCUCUGAUUCCUCCAGGAGUCUCACAGUAUGCCAUAGUGAGCCUUCCAAGCCAAAUGAUUCAAUGUCUGUAAUUACAUGAACACUCUUUUUAUGCCAAGACAUUCAGAAGAACAUAGGACGUCAAUAAUACAACUGGACACAGAUGGGAUCGUAUCUGUGAUUGCUAAUAAACAGCAGUUGCUGAAGAACAAAGAACUGAAAGUUCCAAGCUUUUCCUUCUUCCGCCCUUUCCAAAGUUGACCAUUAAUGUUUCAGAUCACUAUUAAUGUUAUCCAAACUGAUCUGGAAUAUUAAUGGCAGCCUACUCAGGACCUUCUAGAAAAGAUUGGAAAAACAAAAUACA